rnacentral:tRNA from 4 species
GGGUCGUUAGCUCAGGCGGUAGAGCAGUAGCCUUUUAAGCUAUUGGCCGCAGGUUCGACUCCUGCACGACCCACCA